GUGAGUCAGCCAUGUUGAAGGCAGGGCUCAGGCAGAAAGUCUGAUAUUUGAGGUGGGAAGAGGGCUAUUUUUGGCCAAAUAGUUGCUUUACUGCCUGGGAGAUGCCAGUGAAUCAACUCACUGUUAAUUAAUUUCAGCCUGCACUCACCUUCAGAGGUGGUGAAAUGGGCUUGAGCCGAGAGAAGACGCGAACAUCAAAUACCAGUUUGGGGCUUAGCCAGGCAACCCUAAAAUUAGUUCCAGGUGCUCCAGCUGAGCUGCACACGGCCACGGGUGGAACUGGAAGGAAAGUACGCGUUGAGACACAGAGUGUUAGGAUGUAAAGCCCUUCCAAUGUUGACUUCUUGUCUAGAAGUGAGAGGGAAAGGAAAGAACAAAUAACACCCCCAGCCCAGUUUUGACCAUGAUGAUAGCGGUCAGGAAUAGACAAUAAUCUAAUUCAAGAUGAAAGACACAAAAAGAAAGAAGGGAUAAAGGAGAGGAAGCAGCUUCACAACAGGAAAGCAAUGCUCACCCUGUCCUACUGAGGUAUUUACGGCCAAGCACCGAACUGUUAAGGGGGAAAGAAAAGGGCCUGAUCCUCCGGCCUCCACUCAGCCCUUCUAGAAGGUUCCAGGGGGACCCAUGCAGGGCGCUGACCAGAGCUGGGAGACAAUGGCACUGGUGCAGUUGUGCAGAGAGGUCUUUAAGGCUGCCACUGUGUGGAAUCUGAAGUCUCAAAAUGUUUGUUUCUAAGUAAUCACUUGGUGUGAACUUAGUCACUCUCUUCUUUCCCUGCCGGUUAGUGUGCCGUGAAGAAACCUCAGUGCCUUUUAUUAAUCAGCAUUUCUCAGGCAGAGUGUCUCAGGGAGCAUGCUCGCCCUAGCAGCAACUCACCAAUGACCCAACAGCUCUGUUCUCAGAAAUCCUCCUCUCCUCCAAGCAGCCCAACGACCGCAUGCGAGUUCAGCGUUAGCUACCGGGUCGGUCCUUCGGGCUCCCAGGCCUCAGGGUGGGUUUCCCAUCGCAAGUGGCCCUACCAGGACAUGAUCAGGAACCCAUUUUGGGCUGGAGAUGUUUGUGCUUCGGAAGGCAAAAUUUUCUCACCGCCAUCAGAAUCUGUCCCUGAGCGACACAUCGUGUCUCUGGACCCAAGACUGGGAUGAAAACAUCUGAGACAAUUCACUUUUUCUCCGAGGCGGUAGUCUGAGCUGGCGGCUGGCAGCACCCAGCAGGGGAUCAACUGAUAAACUGUGUCAAACUCAAACCAUUUGUCAGCUCGGAAGAGAGGAGAACAAGCUGAAAGAUGGGCUCAGGAAGUCGAUUUAUCUGGAGCAACACAUUAACUAGUAUAAAUACCAGCGGAGGAAAGUAAACACAUUUACCCAGCAACCAAGAACUAAUCACAGGGACCCUGCUACUUAACUUGGCAUUCUCCCAAAGCUUUCACCUCAUCAGACGAGCGACCCCAAUUCGUCUUGAUGUUCUACUUGGAAUAUGUUUAAACAAAUCAAAGGUUUAUUUCCUUGGUGACCUCUACUUCAUCCACAGCUAGUUUACAUUCAUCUAAAAAGCUUCUGCCAGCCUUGAAGGAAAGGCUUUGCCCCGUGACAGGCUUCCUCCAUCCUGUAGAAGAGAGAGAGAAAGUUUUCCAAAAUGCCAUUGUGGCUGAAAAAACACCACCACGCGCAACGAGUCCUCAGGUGGUUAUGUGCAGCCUACUUACACAGUCGUGCGUGGGAUUUGGGGCAUUCUUGGAAACACUUUUAGUUUCGGAAGACCCAGCAGGCAAAGAUGCAACCCAGCAGCCGACUGGCAGCACUGGCCUUUCGUGCUGCUCUGGACUUGCUGGCUAUGGUGACAGCGCCGGGCCUGGCUUCCAGUCCAACACUGUGCCCCCAGGGAACAGGGGGUGUCGCGCCCCAUUUCCUCACGUGGACCAUUUUGUGUUCAUGCUCUCGCCACGCGCCCCUCCUCCCGCACAAGGAUCUUUCCUGUGCUCUUCUGCUUACUGCACUAUGAGUAAUCGUGGGCCUCGUUGGAACCUAGCACUUAGCACUGUGCCUGCACCACUGUUGAGGGUAUACUGCACGAAUGGGCUCCACGUGGUUCUGAGGUCCUGGCUGCAGUGGGUUCUGAGACACGCUGUCCUUUUCUAGAGAAAGUAUACUGUCGCUCAAGCCUUGUUCUUGGACUUUAACAGAAUAGUCGAGGGGAGGAGCCACAGACAUAAAAAUGUGCAGGUUUAUGGGGGGUGGGAGGAGGGAAGAACCUACCACUGACAACAGUGCUUGAGAAUAGGGUCCCCCGCCAAACACAGAUGCAGUCAACUUCCCCAAAGCGAAGGACACAGUUCUGGCGGGACUGGCUUCUGCCCACUCUCACCCAUGUGCACAGCCGGACACAGGCCCUUCUUCCCAAAAUUUCCUUCUGCCAGUCCUCAGGGCCUCCCUCCUCUUCAGGUCACUCCACCCCACAGUAAUUAGGUUUAACUACAGCAAUUAACAAAACAAACUCCUUGGUGCUUAGUGGGCUGAUAAUUCUGAUUGCAAAAUUGUUUUAGGAUGUGCACAGCAGUUUCAAACAAAGAUAAAUAAGUUAUGCAACUAUUUGCAUAUAAUCCAUUUGUUUGUGUGUAGGAGGCAGACUUGAACACCUUAAACAAUGUAGUCUGAAAUGGCAUUGGAUUGUCCUAAGCAUUAUGCCUUCUCUUAUGAUGUUAAUUCAGAACUAAGGAUUCCUGUGUGACAGACUUUGUCUAGUGCUACAGUUUUAAAUGACUCAAGUGGGUUGUGUUGUCAACACGUAAACAGCCUUUCUGUGUUUUUCAAGUGGAAGACUGACGUAAACAUAGUCAACCUCAUCCCAUUUCCUGAAUGCUUUCUACACAAAAUACUAUAAUUUCAAGUUUAACUUUUUUUCACAGCCACUCUCACUGUAAAUUCUUCUAAAUAUAAACAAGUAGGACAAUUCCAAUGUUUGCUUAUUAUUCAAUAGUAGUGAGUCAUACCAUUUCAGCUAUGUCUUGGGAGUUUUAUAUAUUUUGAUUUUACCUGUAUUGAUUUUUAUGAUGGAUUCGGAGCUUCUCCCCUGACUUCUGGAAUAAGACUACAGUGCUGGGGAUGAGCAUUAAGUCUCCACUAAGGAUGCUACCUUUGGAGAACCUAGUUCUGGUCUCAGUUACUCUGUGCUUCUGAUUCCGUAGGGAAGCAGCUGAUGAAAGGCAGAGUGCCGGGGAGUUGGGGGGGGGGGGAUGAGUCAGAGAGAGAGAGAGAGAGAGAGAGAUCUUCCAUCUUCUGGUUCACCCCCCCCCCCAAAAUGGCUGCAACAGCCAGGGCUUGUCCAAGCCAAAGCCAGGAGCUCCAUCCCAGUCUCCCAUGUGGGUGGCAGGGGCCCAAGCAUUUGAGCCAGCAUCCGUUGCCUUCCAAAGUGCACGUUAGCAGAAGGCUGGAUUGGAAGUAUUAGAUAGGAAGUCAGAAAUAACAGAAGUAGAGCAGCAGAUCUUAUAGGAUGCCGGCACGGCAGGAGGCAGGUGGCUUAAGCCACAGAACCACAACACUGUCCCCUCAAGUAAGUAAACAAAGCUUUUUUAAGAGUACAGUAAUAGAAGAAAAGGAAGCUUUCUGCCACUCUCCCUGGAAAGGGAAAGUCUACUUCCGUCUCAGGGCUGGCACCACGGCAUAGCAGGUUAAGCCACAGCCUGUGGUGCUGCCUUCCCCAUACAGGCACUGGUACAAGUCCCAGCUGCUCCACUUCGGAUCCAGCUCCCUGCUAAUGGCCUGGGAAGGCAGUGAAAAAUGGCCCAGUGCUUGGGCCACUGUACUCACAUUGGGGACCCAGAUGGAAUUCCAGGCUCCUGGAUUGGGCCUGGUCCAAUACGGGUCGUUGUGGCCAUGUAGGGAGUGCCUGGACCAGCCCUGGUCAUUGUGGCCAUCUAGGGAGUGAACCAGCAGGUGGAAGAUAUCUCUCCCCGACCCCCCUCCCCACUUUCUGUAACUGUCUUUCAAAUAAAUAAAAUCUUUUUUUUUUUUUAACGGCUGGACUCCUUUCUAUUAGAAGUUCUGAUGAGCAUUUGAUAGUCGGAAAAUUCUCAGUGUGGUAAAACUGGGGUAACCCUACAGGAAAAUAAACACAACAGCCUCUGAGGGCCAAGGUAGAGCUUUACCAGACCAGGGGCAUUUUAUGGUUAAUAUAAGGCUAUGCAAAGCUUAUUUUAUCUCUUCAAUUUCCCAAGAAGCCAUUGUGGCCAAGCACUAUGUCCUUAUUCUGAAGGCCACAGAUGAUGGAAAAUAAAAAUUCAACAGUCUCAAAAUAUAUAGAACUGGUGAAGAAUCAGAUCCUGGAAAUCUAUGUUAGUAUAGGAACAUGAACUGCCAUAGUUUACCUCUUCCAUUAACAUAUUAACAUACUACCACGGCCUCAUAAUAAGUUUCUCCAUAUUCUCUUCCCUUCCUUUGCAAUUUUCCACAUGUCCACUGUCUCUGGAAUUGUCACUCUGAAUGACAGCCUUCCUUCCCGUGGUCCUUCCCUGCCCUGAAACCUCACAUGGCUCCCACCACUGUUGAUGUGGUGGGGCAGGGCGGGGUGGGGGAAGGGCUGAAUUCAAAGUGAAGCAGCCAGGACAUGGACCAGUGCUCAUAUGGGAUGCUGGCAUACCACAUAGCUGCUUAACAGUCUCAACUCUGCAGGGCAAGCUUUCUGCUCUCUCCUGGUGCUGAAAUGCUGAUGAUUGAAGAAGCACACCUCACAGAAGCCAUAUGCAUCAAUACGACCUCCAUAAAUUCUGAAAGACUCCAAGUUCAAAGUCACAUCUGGUCUCUGAGGGAUGCAGACAAGGGUGUGGGCCUGCAGCAGGGUCAAUCCCAGAGCCAGGCCUCCUUCCUCAUUUGGUCACUGGGUUCCCAAUUCCACAACUGAUCAUGUUCCCAACAAAUAAACUUGUUGAAACCA